rnacentral:rRNA from 1 species
UACGUAGGGACCGAGCGUUGUCCGGAAUCAUUGGGCGUAAAGAGCGUGUAGGCGGCUAUUUAAGUCCUGCGUGAAAUCCUGCGGCUCAACCGCAGACGGUCGUGGGAAACUGGAUGGCUAGAGUGCGGGAGAGGAGAGUGGAAUUCCCGGUGUAGCGGUGAAAUGCGCAGAUAUCGGGAAGAACACCCGUGGCGAAGGCGGCUCUCUGGAACGCAACUGACGCUGAGGAGCGAAAGCCAGGGGAGCAAACGGG